ensembl:lncRNA
GGAAGAUAUUAAACUUGUUAAAACAUCAGGAAACAGAAAUAAAUAGUUAUUACAUGAAAUUUAUAUGUUUUAAAAUAAGUCCCAAACUCCUGCUGUGUAGUCUUCUACCAAGCUCUGGUGAAAACCUUAUUUUUCUUCAAAUGAAAAACUCCAAAAGUCAGAAAUGAAAUUGUUUCAUUUUUCUUUCAUUUGAAAAUCAAGUACUGAACACAGAAUUAGACAUGGUCCCUGCUCAGUGGGUUUCACAAUCUACAAUGCUAGCCUGAUUUUCUUUCUGCCAAAACUCUAUAUAAGAGCACACACUUGAUAGGAACUUGUUUACUAUUGCUAAGAUAUACUUUUGUGCCCAGAUAUAGUACUGAAAGAAAGUUCACAGUCCUUUGAAAAACAAGGGCCUUGGGCAUGCUGGCAGGCCAGGCACAAUAACAUACACUUGUAUCAAAUAAAGGAGAGUUCUGUGUCAAGAACAGAAUUCUAAUAAUGACUUGUCUUUUUCUAGUUUACUACUUAAGAAAGCUUGACAGAAACAAAGAGCCAACUUUACUUCUAUAUGUGCAAGUUUAUGGUCUAGCACUUAUGACUUAUACACAUCCAUGCAUUCAUUUAUAUUACAUACAUUUAUUGAAGGUUCACUAUGUUUCAGGCACUGGGACCACAGAUGAAAAAUCAGAAUUACAAAGAAAAAUAUUUCUCCAGUUUUAUGAGAACAAGAAAUAGAGACAACAUGGAAAGGAAGAAAGGAAUAGAAUGAACUAAGCUAACAUAUCAAACAUACACAUACACACACACACACACACACACACACACACACACACACACCCCAAAGAUCCUCCUGCUUUGAAAUAGAUGUGACUUUUUUGGCACCUGCCUCUCAUCCAGUGCCCAGUGCACUCUAUUCUCCCAUGUUAAGUGGCUCCUCUCUACCCUGUCACAGCAAGAAGCAUUCAGCUUGGCAAUGCCUGUGGCCAUUUGUUAAGUCACAAUGCAGACAAAGUGGCUGAGAUCUGGAGCAAAGGAAGUGGACAGUUCUCAGGCACACCAGCUAAAUUGUUGUAGUUACACGUCUGUUAAUACAGUGCUCUUGAUUCCUGUCUUGUGCUGAUCACCUUGGAGGAAUCAAAGCAAUCAGCAUUAUACUGCUAAAACAUGCUGCCCAAAACUGUCAUUAUUUCACAUUCUCAGGACACAUCUUACAAAGGUACAAGUAUUUAAAUGGGGUCCUUGAAGACCUAUACUUGAAAAAGAUAGUAAUAGGUAAGCAUGUAGGUUUUCUUAUGUGCAAUUUUUAUGUUUAUGAAGCUUUUUACUCUUUCAAAUAAAAAAAAAUUGGGGAUCUUUGCACUACCAUCAUAUAGAAUACAUGUCAAUUAAAAUAGGAAUACUGUAUUAACACAAGUCUUAACAUUAUCUUUUGCUAGAAGGGAAAUUAAGCACUUCACUCUACCCAAAGGUGAAAUGACUCCAACUCAUAAGUCACUUGGAAGAGCUCACUUAGGAACUUGAGAAAGGCAUUUAAUAUUAAACUUACAAGCACUUUCUCAAGAAUAAAUCACUAAUAGGAAUAAUUCCUUCCAUCACAUUUGAUUACUUUUUACAUAUUAGUACAAUGUUCUCAAUUCUUUUGCCUUGACUUUUCAAAAGUAUUAAUAAUGCAGCAUUAUUCACUUCUGACUGAUAUCCCACCUAGUCAAGAAGUUAAUAAAAUUUCAGGUAUUAUUGAUAUAGUAAACACAAGUUAAUCAUAAUGGUAUGAUUGAGGACUGGGGACAUGAAGUAACCACCUUUUAUUCAUCAUUUUUGUAAAAGCAUUGUUUAACCUAGGGCUGUAUCUGGGACUUCUAUACAAAGUCAACUUUAAAACUGCACUCUAUUUCUCCAGAGAACUUGCAGUCCAAACAUAUGCCAAGAUCCUCAGGGAGAGUUUAAACCAUUUUAGAAAUGUUACUAAAAAUUUAGAGGAUGGCAAUUGUUAAGAUGAAACAGUUUGGUUGUUAAGAUGAAACAUUUUGAAGAUUAAUUUUUUUCCUCCCCCUCAUCAUCUGAUGAUCUGAUGUCACACAGAGUUAGUCCAAAGAAAAAAAAAUCAGAGAACGUAACUUUAUGUGCACUCAACACAUGUACUUUAUUAAGAAAGUAAAUCACAAAAUUUGCACUUUUCUUAAAGCCUUAAAAUCAAUCAAGGGAAAAGAAACAAAUUAUCUUAAAUUUGAAUAUUUUAAUAACAUUUCUAAUUUUUGAAAGAAUGGCACUAUAUCAUCUACUGCUGACUCUCUGCUACACUCAAAAAAUGUAUAAUGCCAUCAUAAUUAAAAUAUAUUUAUUGGUUAUCAAUUUACAUAAAAUGCUACCGUGGGCAAUAGGUAAAAAGAACUACUCGGGCAGUUUACUAUCAGAACUGAUGACACCUACUUGAAGGAAUCAGUCUUUGUUAUGUGGCACAAUAACUAAAAAGGAGCAGAUACUAAAACAUGAUCAUGAACUCAUUUAAAGAUCAAUGAUACAACGUGGGAGUUAUAAAAAGUUUGGCUGAAAACGAGUAGAAGUAUAAGGACAAGGAAGGUGUCAGCUCUCCUCUGAUCACUACACAAAGACUUUCUGGAAGAUAUGGGUCUUCCAAAGACAGGUUGAAGCAAGGUGGCAAAGCAGUGUUUUCUAUGAUUACAGAGUUUAGGAUUGCCUAGCAGAAUGCUGGAAGUGGAAGUGGAAUGGCAGAAUGGAGGACAUCUGGGAGGUCGCAGGUGAAGUUAUGGGAAGGGGUGCACAGCAAAACAGACAAUAAAGCUGAAGCAGGUGAUUAGAAUAAUUUGAGUGCUUACCAUCAAAUUUACAGCUUUCCCUGAGUCCCAAGGCCAAAAGUAAGUCAAACUUACUCUUAGCUUUGAAUCAAGAAACAGAAUUAAAAUAAUGUAAACAAAAAAAAAUAAAUCUGAGAAUUAGAUAUAUAGACAGUUGCUCUUCCAAAACCAUAAAAUUUAGUGUGGAAAACAUACAAAC